ACAGUUACUGAAGAUGGACAGUAGGGGGCGGAAGCGCCCACGCUUCUUUGAUAUGGGGAGCUUUGGUUUUUCAGUGACGGGGGACCCUUUGACUUCAGUUACUUUUAAUGACUUUUGGUAGUGAAGAGACAAAGUUCAUUACAAAACGUGCCAGGCUUCAGCAAUUUUCCAAAGGGAUUAAGUAAUUGCAGUGGCCACAGGCUAUGUAAAAUUUUUAAAAAGGUGGUGUCUCUCACUUUCUUCAGCAUAAUUUGGGUCACAGAAACCCACGCAUAAAAAUUCAUUAGGAACUCAUAUUCUAUCAUGCCCUGACACUGACUCAAUCACCACAGUCGCAAUCAAAAGACGGCUUUAGCUGGAACCUGGAACCUGCUAGUCCUGUCAGGCAGCCUGUGAUUCUGGAAGUGAAGGAACAAAA
rnacentral:lncRNA from 1 species